GACGAACGCUGGCGGCGUGCUUAACACAUGCAAGUCGAACGGAAAGGCCCUGCUUUUGUGGGGUGCUCGAGUGGCGAACGGGUGAGUAACACGUGAGUAACCUGCCCUUGACUUUGGGAUAACUUCAGGAAACUGGGGCUAAUACCGGAUAGGAGCUCCUGCUGCAUGGUGGGGGUUGGAAAGUUUCGGCGGUUGGGGAUGGACUCGCGGCUUAUCAGCUUGUUGGUGGGGUAGUGGCUUACCAAGGCUUUGACGGGUAGCCGGCCUGAGAGGGUGACCGGCCACAUUGGGACUGGGAUACGGCCCAGACUCCUACGGGAGGCAGCAGUGGGGAAUAUUGCACAAUGGGCGGAAGCCUGAUGCAGCAACGCCGCGUGCGGGAUGACGGCCUUCGGGGUGUAAACCGCUUUCGCCUGUGACGAAGCGUGAGUGACGGUAAUGGGUAAAGAAGCACCGGCUAACUACGUG
rnacentral:rRNA from 1 species